AUGAACGCUGGCGGCGUGCCUAAUACAUGCAAGUCGAGCGAACAGACGAGGAGCUUGCUCCUCUGACGUUAGCGGCGGACGGGUGAGUAACACGUGGAUAACCUACCUAUAAGACUGGGAUAACUUCGGGAAACCGGAGCUAAUACCGGAUAAUAUAUUGAACCUCAUGGUUCAAUAGUGAAAGACGGUUUUGCUUUCACUUAUAGAUGGAUCCGCGCCGCAUUAGCUAGUUGGUAAGGUAACGGCUUACCAAGGCGACGAUGCGUAGCCGACCUGAGAGGGUGAUCGGCCACACUGGAACUGAGACACGGUCCAGACUCCUACGGGAGGCAGCAGUAGGGAAUCUUCCGCAAUGGGCGAAAGCCUGACGGAGCAACGCCGCGUGAGUGAUGAAGGUCUUCGGAUCGUAAAACUCUGUUAUUAGGGAAGAACAAAUGUGUAAGUAACUAUGCACGUCUUGACGGUACCUAAUCAGAAAGCCACGGCUAACUACGUG
rnacentral:rRNA from 1 species